ACCUGACUGCUAUCGGAUUGGUACUAAGCCAUGCGAGUCAUUGUAGCAAUACAAGGCAUACGGCUCAGUAACGCGUAGUCAACCUAACCUAUGGACGGAAAUAACCUCGGGAAACUGAGAAUAAUGCCCGAUAGAACAUUGUACCUGGAAUGGUUUAUGUUCCAAAUGAUUUAUCGCCAUAGGAUGGGACUGCGGCCUAUCAGUUUGUUGGUGAGGUAAUGGCCCACCAAGACUAUUACAGGUACGGGCUCUGAGAGGAGUAGCCCGGAGAUGGGUACUGAGACACGGACCCAGGCCCUAUGGGGCGCAGCAGGCGAGAAAACUUUGCAAUGUGCGAAAGCACGACAAGGUUAAUCCGAGUGAUUUCUGCUAAAGAGAUCUUUUGUUAGUCCUAGAAACACUAACGAAUAAGGGGUGGGCAAGUUCUGGUGUCAGCCGCCGCGGUAAAACCAGCACCUCAAGUGGUCAGGAUGAUUAUUGGGCCUAAAGCAUCCGUAGCCGGCUCUGUAAGUUUUCGGUUAAAUCUGUACGCUCAACGUACAGGCUGCCGGAAAUACUGCAGAACUAGGGAGUGGGAGAGGUAGACGGUACUCGGUAGGAAGUGGUAAAAUGCUUUGAUCUAUCGAUGACCACCUGUGGCGAAGGCGGUCUACCAGAACACGUCCGACGGUGAGGGAUGAAAGCUGGGGGAGCAAACCGGAUUAGAUACCCGGGUAGUCCCAGCUGUAAACUAUGCAAACUCAGUGAUGCAUUGGCUUGUGGCCAAUGCAGUGCUGCAGGGAAGCCGUUAAGUUUGCCGCCUGGGAAGUACGUACGCAAGUAUGAAACUUAAAGGAAUUGGCGGGGGAGCACCACAAGGGGUGAAGCCUGCGGUUC
rnacentral:rRNA from 1 species